UACGUAGGGUCCGAGCGUUGUCCGGAAUUAUUGGGCGUAAAGAGCUCGUAGGCGGUUUGUCGCGUCUGCUGUGAAAACCUAAGGCUCAACCUUGGGCUUGCAGUGGGUACGGGCAGACUAGAGUGCGGUAGGGGUGACUGGAAUUCCUGGUGUAGCGGUGGAAUGCGCAGAUAUCAGGAGGAACACCGAUGGCGAAGGCAGGUCACUGGGCCGCAACUGACGCUGAGGAGCGAAAGCAUGGGGAGCGAACAGG
rnacentral:rRNA from 1 species